UUCCUUUGAACGUGUAAACAAGCGUAUUCAAAUAUUUUUGUUGAAAAAAAAAUCUCAAGAUUGUUAGCGGUGUCGAGUUCAAACAAGGGGAGUGGGGGCCCGGGAGGGUGGGGCAGGUGGCGGCAGGCCCAUGGGGGGUGGGGUGGAAUUAAUGGAAUCUUCUGGCAAAUUAAGGAAUGUCUUCUGACUUUCUUAUCUCUUUAAUUGUCCAACAUUUCCUUAUCAAUAGAUUUAAAUCUCCUGGACAUAAAUUAAACAAUUAAAAAGGUUUCUGGAGAUGUGUUUCUUCUUAUUUUAGUUAAGCAGUCUCAAGUUUAGCAUCAGGCGGUGUUUUAUUCGUUUUAUUCACGUUCUCCUGUAGACAAUUUUAUUGAUUCUUUCAAUCAAAUUUUACAAAGGUGGAAAAAUAAAAGAGUAAAAGGGCAUAUAAAGUGUAGGGGAAUAUAUAUACAAAUAUCUUCAGCAAGGAAGGUCUCCCCACCUUGAGAGAGUCCUCCUCCAGACAAGGUNNNNNNNNNNNNNNNNNNNNNNNNNNNNNNNNNNNNNNNNNNNNNNNNNNNNNNNNNNNNNNNNNNNNNNNNNNNNNNNNNNNNNNNNNNNNNNNNNNNNCAAUGAUACACACCUAUUUAUUUUGAAAAUAGAGCAAUCCAUAGAUAAAUCUUCAAUUAAAAAGACAUAUAUUGGAUCAAAAUAUCAUUUAUUUUACCAAUAUUUCAGUUGGCUGAACGCCAACCUUUAUCAAGUUAUUGUUAAUUUUCAAAAUAUUCACACCUAUAUUUUACAAAAUAUAUUUUGUCCAUAAUAUAAAUAUUAUAUAUCAAUUUUUUUCUCCCCAUUGAAUAUAACAAAAUAUUUUUAAAACUUAAAUGCUGUUGACGUUAUGUGGCGCUGAGUUUGUUGUUGACACACAUUAAUAUGUUAUAAUCUAUAUAUAUAAAAUUGAAUGUCUGUCUGUCUGUCUGUUUGUCUGUACUCUAUAGAUUCAAAAACCAUACAUCCAAUCGCCGUGAAAUUUUGGUAUAUUAUUAGGUAUAUCACCGGGAAGGUUUUUGAAAAAUAAUUUCAUGAAUAUCUUGAAUAUCCUUAGAGUUAUUUGUAGAUUUUAUUUUAUUCUUUUGUAAAUUAAACCAUUUCUACUGUCCCUUACUGCAAUGGAAAAAUUAAACUGUCGAAACCGCUAGGAGGGUUCACCACUGAUGAGCCAGGACCUCCCAUUAAUUUUUACAUUACAGUAAGGACAGUAGAAAUUGUUUAAUAUUUAAAAGAAUCAUACGCGUCUAUAAUAGUUUCGUGUUUUAACUACUUUAUUCACAAAAAUGAAAUUUAUACAUAAAAAUGAUUUUUUCCAACAAUGAAAUUCUAUUAGCAACAAUGUUUAUAAAAAUGCUACCCAAAAUGUCUGUUUUCCCAAGAACAUUGAAUGCCGGCCAGGCAACCUCUUAUCUUCAAUAAUGUGUAAUUUAUCAGAAACAAUGGAUUUUUAGCCACUACAAUACCAUUUUAUCCAUAACAAUGAAAAUUUAUUGUCGCAACAAUUACUUUUAAUUUAGUUAUUGUGUUAUUCUCCUGUCAACGGUCAAAUAUACACGAAAUCUUGAGUUCAUGGAAUAAAAACCGAUAAAAAAUGUAUCUAUGGAUGGAUAAUUGAUUUAUUUAAUUAAUAUUUAUGCAUAACAAAAAUGGUUUAUCCAGACAAGAAGUAUCUGUUGAAAAUAUUGAGAUCAAACAACUAUUUUUAAAAUAGUUACAAUUUCUAACACUAGAUGGCGGGCAGUGUCUGCUGUUUGUUAACAAUCGAUCCAAGUGUUAUAUUAAAAAAUAGGAAUAAAAUUAUAAUUUUCUAGAGUAAAUUAUUAUUUUAUUAUUUUUAAAAGGUGUAUAAAUCAGUAAAUUCAUAAAUAAAUGUAAAAAAGUUAGUUGCCUCAGUUGAAAUAUAAGUUCCGAGAUAAACUGGCGGCUGGGAGUCGUGGCGUGCUCCUGUAAUCCAGCUACUUGGAGGCCGGGGUUGGUGGACGGCUUGAGGCGAGGAGCCCUCCCUUCUGGUUCCCUAUGUUGACCGGAUGUCCGCACUAGGCCCAGCGUCAAUAUGGCGACCCCGGGGGAGCCCGGGGCCUCCAGGUCAGCUAAGGAGGAGUGGACCGGCCCAGGGCGGAAACGCAGCAGGCAAAAGCUCCCGCGCAGGGCGGUAGUGGGAUCGCGUCCGUGAAUAGUGUCCAAAUGGGAGCCUCGCCGAUAUAGUUGGACCCAACUCUUUUUUUUUUAAAUAUAUUUUUAUUUUAAUUCAUACUUUUAAAAUUAUUUACAGUAAAAAGAGCUUAUAUUGCGCGAUAGAUGUUAAAAGGUCAAGGGUUCGAACCCGCUUUUGGCAACUUUUUUUUUUUAACCAUUAAUUUUUAUUUAUUAUUUUUUUAAUACGAAAUAGAGAUUUUAAAAUAUAUUGCCACGUGGAAAAUUAGGAAAGACAAACCUCAGAAUUACACGGCAAUUUAUUUAAUGUAAAACCGAAUUGAAAUUAUUAAAAUAGCAGAGAGGUAAUGAGAAAAUUUUACAGUGUAUCAAAAUACAAACAUCGAAAUUAAAAAAUCUUUUCAUAGAAUAAUAAAUACUCUGCUAAAUAGCUUCUUCCCUAUGGGAGCUGUGACCUACAGCUUGUUGCUACUGACAUGGAUCUGACGUGUUUCUGCCAAGUAUUUCCUCGAAGUCUUGGACGUCUGUCCCUAGUACCUUUGCGUCCUGUUUCUUGCGGCGUGAAGAGUGGCUUUUUCGUCGUAUCGUCUAUAGGGACAUCGUCGUCUUGGCUUUGACACGGCAGUGGAAUACUGGAACCAGUCUUUGAAUAUGUAGAUCACAGCAUCCUACUCUCACGACAGGACACCAGCGCCGUGGUUGUAACACUAGAAACAAAUUACUGUAUUAUCAAAUUCUUGUUUAAAACAAAAAGCGCAACAUUUAAAAUGUCGGCGUGUUUAAUUCAUCAUAUGUAGCGGUAACACGUGGUUUCCCAAUAAAUGGAAAACCAACGUUCAAACAAUCUUGUGUACGUUCAUUAUCCGUAAGAGAUCCCCACUCUACCAUAUCUUCUUCUUUCUUAUCUCGACUCAAACAUAUCAGGGUAUCAAGCUUGUUGAUGGUGUCUGCUGGGGAUGAGUCUUCUUUCUUAUCUCUACUCAAUCAUAUCAGGGUAUCAAGCUUAUAGAGCUUGUUGAUGGUGUCUGCUGGGGAUGAGUCUUCUUUCUUAUCUCUACUCAAUCAUAUCAGGGUAUCAAGCUUAUAGAGCUUGUUGAUGGUGUCUGCUGGGGAUGAGUCUUCUUUCUUAUCUCUACUCAAUCAUAUCAGGGUAUCAAGCUUAUAGAGCUUGUUGAUGGUGUCUGCUGGGGAUGAAUCUUCUUUCUUAUCUCUACUCAAUCAUAUCAGGGUAUCAAGCUUAUAGAGCUUGUUGAUGGUGUCUGCUGGGGAUGAGUCUUCUUUCUUAUCUCUACUCAAUCAUAUCAGGGUAUCAAGCUUGUAGAGCUUGUUGACGGUGUCUGCUGGGGAUGAGUCUUCUUUCUUAUCUCUACUCAAUCAUAUCAGGGUAUCAAGCUUAUAGAGCUUGUUGAUGGUGUCUGCUGGGGAUGAGUCUUCUUUCUUAUCUCUACUCAAUCAUAUCAGGGUAUCAAGCUUAUAGAGCUUGUUGAUGGUGUCUGCUGGGGAUGAGUCUUCUUUCUUAUCUCUACUCAAUCAUAUCAGGGUAUCAAGCUUGUAGAGCUUGUUGACGGUGUCUGCUGGGGAUGAGUAGAGCUCAUCAAUGGAUGAUUCAAUACAGUCAAUAAUGUAGUUUUGGGGUUGCAGGUUGACACUUAGUACAUAGUGGGAAAACCUUGCAACCAGCCAUAUAAGACAAGGUAGUAAAGUUUGGCUGCAAGGACACCCUACUGCGGGUCACCUAAGAUUUUAUAAAACCUAUGAGAUACUCUUGGCCAGAACUUCUCGGGGGAAAGUGUUGUUGUUGCUUAUUCGUUUGGACGGUCUUUUCUAAGGAUAUGAUAGUUUCUGAGUUUAUGUGAAGUGCUUAGUUUAGUCUCUUGUAGGGCAAUGAUUUGAGCUUGAUGGUCUGCAGGAUUUCUUCUAGUUUGAUUUUAGUUCCUGUCUAUACGAAAGUAUGUAGCACAUUGUAAAGAAUACCAAACCGUAAACCUGGGUUGCUCAAAUCCCCCUGCAACCUUUUCAUUCCAAAGAAUUUGAAUAGAUCUUCUUGGGAGAUUCCCGAAAUCCUUUGAAGGUAAUAAAUGGAUCAUAGUUUGUACUGACGAUCUUACUCGAUUUGCCGUUACUAAAACCUUACCCACAGGGCAAGCAAAAGAAGCAGCCAAGUUCUUAAUGGAAGAUGUUGUUCUCAAGCACGGAGCCCCCAGAGAAAUCAUCACGGACCGAGGACGAGUAUUCCAUUCCAAGUUGAUUGCGGAACUCACCAAUCAAUGCUCGUCGGUUCACGACAGCGUAUCAUCCCCAGACGAAUGGACUGACGGAGAGGUUAAACAAAACCUUAGCCAACAUGAUCGCUAUGUAUGUAAGUGUUGAACAGAAGGACUGGGAAGUAAUCCUGCCCUACGUCACGUUCGCCUACAACACGGCAAAACAAGACACGACAGGCUUCACCCCAUUCGAACUAGUCCAUGGACGUGAGGCUGAAACAACUGUGGAUACUUUAUUUCCAAACCCGAUAGAAAAGCUUCAAGUGGAAUAUAGCCAAAGGAUUGCGUCGCGAGUCGAAGAGACUAGGCAGCUAGCAAGAUUAGAAACCUUGAAAGCCCAAGAAAAGGACAAGGCCAGAUAUGACUCAAAGCACGAGGCAAUGGAUUACAACGUCGGUGACCUGGUAUGGAUUUUCAUCCCAAUAAGAAAGGUGGGACUCUCAGAAAAACUGAUGAAAAGGUACUUCGGGCCAUACAGGGUUACUCGGAACCUAUCCGACGUGACCUUCGAAGUUGAACCUGUGGACCAAUAUGUAAAUGUAACGCCGUACCAGUACCUUCAGGCGGUGGAUAAAGUGGUCGGCGGGGCCAAGAACAUCGUACAGCUCACCAGGAUGAACGGCCUGACCACUAAUGUCCUAGCAGAGCGCCUCAUCGAUGGGGACCUUGAAGAUCGAGGGCACGACCCUCAGGACUUUCCUCUUCCGCAAGAGGGCGGAGAGGAUAAUAAUCGGCAACCUCCCGUUCUUCGUGGAGGAUGGGGUCAUCAUCGAAGCCCUGCGGCCGUGUGACAUCCAUCGCCUCCAGGCAGUUCAAGGUGGGGAGUACACCUAUGCAGACGGCCGUCGCGAGGCCUACAUCUUCGAGGACCGCUUUGCUCCAGGACCAUCAUGCAGAUGCAACUUGACUCUGCAUCCUCGAUCUACAAGCGCCUCGUUAUGGCUCGAGGUCUGCUGGGCGGGUAAGCUCCGCGUGGCCACCAUCAACGCGCAUGGGUUCGCCACUCGGGGGAGGAGCCUGGUACUUUGUCAUCUCCUCAGGCAACACCAAGUGGACAUUGCGUUUGUUUGUCCAGGAGACAAACAGUUCCUAUCUAGACCUCUGGCUCGGAUACAACGCUGUAGUCAUACCACCCAUAGCCAUCUCGGGUUCUGGACUCGCCUGUGUCUUCGGACCAGGCGUCACCGUUCUGCGACAGCGUGUCCUGUGGCCGGGCCACAUUGCCUUGGCCGUCAUCGAUGUUCACGACGAGGAGAUAACAUUCAUCAACGUCCAUUUCUCCAUAAUCCCCACGAGCGGCUGGAGCUGAUAGCGGCAGCUGCGAUCCAAGAGGAAGCCUGGGUUCUUGGGGCUUCAACAUCAGGGAGAACUCACCGGACUCCGUGGAUGCCCUCACCACUCUUCAGGACCUGGCUCCCCACCAGGGUCGCUAGCCACGGCGACCGUAUCGAGAGCAGCCGACUGGACCGAAUCCUCGUUCCUGCGGGAUCGUGUGAACACCUACACGAGUAGCUACUACCAUCUCUACGACCACCGUGCUGCUCUAGGUGGGCCCGCCCGCCAAGAAGGGCGAAACUCGACGCCAUCCUCGAGAAAGCUCCCUGUUUGACGAGACUGGCCAGCUUGGCCUCCAAAAGGAAGAGGUCCUACGUGCCCUCGUCUCCACUGCCAAGAUCAAGUCCCCGAUGACCAACCUCACAGCCGCCCAGAGGACCGCUUUGCUCUAGCUCUUCCGCACCAUCAUGCAAAGGCGACUUGACUCAGCCUCCUCCAUCUACAAGCGCCUCGUGGUGGCCCAAGG
rnacentral:piRNA from 1 species